CAGGGAUUGCCCCAGUAACGGCGAGUGAAGCGGCAACAGCUCAAAUUUGAAAUCUGGCCCCCAGGGCCCGAGUUGUAAUUUGCAGAGGAUGCUUUGGGCGAGGUGCCUUCCGAGUUCCCUGGAACGGGACGCCAUAGAGGGUGAGAGCCCCGUCUGGUCGGACACCGAGCCUGUGUAAAGCUCCUUCGACGAGUCGAGUAGUUUGGGAAUGCUGCUCAAAAUGGGAGGUAUAUGUCUUCUAAAGCUAAAUAUUGGCCAGAGACCGAUAGCGCACAAGUAGAGUGAUCGAAAGAUGAAAAGCACUUUGAAAAGAGGGUUAAAAAGUACGUGAAAUUGUUGAAAGGGAAGCGCCUAUGACCAGACUUGGGCCCGGUGAAUCAUCCAGCGUUCUCGCUGGUGCACUUUGCCGGGCACAGGCCAGCAUCAGUUUGGCGCGGGGGACAAAGGCUUCGGGAAUGUAGCUCCCUCGGGAGUGUUAUAGCCCGCUGCGCAAUACCCUGCGCCGGACUGAGGUACGCGCAUCGCAAGGAUGCUGGCGUAAUGGUCAUCAGCGACCCGUCUUGAAACACGGACCAAGGAGUCGUCUUCGUAUGCGAGUGUUCGGGUGUCAAACCCCUACGCGUAAUGAAAGUGAACGCAGGUGAGAGCUUCGGCGCAUCAUCGACCGAUCCUGAUGUUCUCGGAUGGAUUUGAGUAAGAGCAUACGGGGCCGGACCCGAAAGAAGGUGAACUAUGCCUGUAUAGGGUGAAGCCAGAGGAAACUCUGGUGGAGGCUCGCAGCGGUUCUGACGUGCGAAUCGAUCGUCAAAUAUGGGCAUGGGGGCGAAAGACUAAUCGAACCUUCUAGUAGCUGGUUUC
rnacentral:rRNA from 1 species